rnacentral:rRNA from 1 species
CCUACGGGUGGCAGCAGUGAGGAAUAUUGGUCAAUGGGCGCGAGUCUGAACCAGCCAAGUAGCGUGAAGGAUGACUGCCCUAUGGGUUGUAAACUUCUUUUAUAUGGGAAUAAAACGUUCCACGUGUGGGAUUUUGUAUGUACCAUAUGAAUAAGGAUCGGCUAACUCCGUGCCAGCAGCCGCGGUAAUACGGAGGAUCCGAGCGUUAUCCGGAUUUAUUGGGUUUAAAGGGAGCGUAGGUGGAUUGUUAAGUCAGUUGUGAAAGUUUGCGGCUCAACCGUAAAAUUGCAGUUGAAACUGGCAGUCUUGAGUACAGUAGAGGUGGGCGGAAUUCGUGGUGUAGCGGUGAAAUGCUUAGAUAUCACGAAGAACUCCGAUUGCGAAGGCAGUUCACUGGACUGCAACUGACACUGAGGCUCGAAAGUGUGGGUAUCAAACAGGAUUAGAUACCCCGGUAGUC